UCCUACGGGAGGCAGCAGUCAGGAAUAUUGCGCAAUGGAGGAAACUCUGACGCAGCGACGCCGCGUGAGUGAUGAAGGCCUUCGGGUCGUAAAGCUCUGACAGAGGGAAGAACCGACUGGAUGCUAAUACCAUUCAGUCCUGACGGUACCCUCAAAGGAAGCACCGGCUAACUCCGUGCCAGCAGCCGCGGUA
rnacentral:rRNA from 1 species